rnacentral:rRNA from 1 species
AGAACGAACGCUGGCGGCAUGCCUAAUACAUGCAAGUCGAACGAAGGCUUCGGCCUUAGUGGCGCACGGGUGCGUAACGCGUGGGAAUCUGCCCCUUGGUUCGGAAUAACAGUUGGAAACGACUGCUAAUACCGGAUGAUGACGAAAGUCCAAAGAUUUAUCGCCCAGGGAUGAGCCCGCGUAGGAUUAGCUAGUUGGUGAGGUAAAGGCUCACCAAGGCGACGAUCCUUAGCUGGUCUGAGAGGAUGAUCAGCCACACUGGGACUGAGGCACGGCCCAGACUCCUACGGGAGGCAGCAGUAGGGAAUAUUGGACAA